GCAGGUUCCUUGCGGCGGAGCCCGCUGGGAUGAGCUACGGGUGGGACUGUGGAGCAGAAGGGAGCCCCCGAGGGCACCGUGGAGUCUCGGGGCGAUUGAAGCGAGAGUCGGCUCCCCGUGCUCGGGGGUGGCUGUUAACCCUCCUCUCUAACUCAGUGGCGGGGCUGCCCUUCGGGAUCAGCUUCUAUGGGGCAGGUGCAGAAACCCCAUAGAGAAGGUCUCCCUGUCUCCUGCCUUCUCUGGCCCACUGGGAGAGAAAACCUCUGGCAGAUCCACCUGCCUUCCUCCCAGCCCCAGAAACCCCCUUCCCCCCUUAGUCCUCAAAGCAGUUCACCCUAUGGCCUAAGCCACAAGGUGUAUGGGACUGCCCACUGUGGAGUGACCAGGAUGGCAGGGCAAGUUGUUGACCCUCCUAAGAUCCAGGUUAUGAGCAGCCUUUGCAUGGGCACAACGAGGGAGCGGGGACCUAAGGAGUCUUCUCCUCCUAUCCCCACCCCCCACCCCUUUGCAUGGUCCACACAAUGGCUAGUCAAAACAGCAGCCUGUCUACAAGGAUUGCUCACCAUGUGCUGUCCCUGUAAAAGUUAUCACCCCAAAGGAGAUGGUGAUGAGGCAGAGCCAUGCAGGACUCUCCCCUGCACCACCCCACAGAAUGGGGCUGGUACACCCAACUAACGGUGUUCCUGAGGCACAAUCUCUCUUUGUAAAUUGUACCUGCAGUAGUGGUGUGCCUCUACAGCACCCUUUCUGCAGGGCUGUGUCCAAAAUGCUCAGAGCCAAUGCAUCAGUAGUAAAAAUUGUACAGCAUUGGCACCAAGUGGAACACACAGUGUCCAUCUUCCGAUGCCUUUACUGCAUCCACCAAUUUGAAAGAUGGGUGAAAGCUUCAGAAUUGCUUAAAAAAACCAGUUGGUCCAGCCAGCAACACUGAUUUAACCAAAGAACUCUGCUAUUGGCCCAGUCUUGUAUGGUAAUAUGGCAACAAAAGUUUAAUUUCUGCUGCUACACAGGCCUAGAAAAGAACAGCAUAGAACAAUAAAUAAAUUGAUACAAACAAUAAUACCUUUAUAAUGGUGCCCUUCAUCCCAAAGGAUCCCAACACAUUUCACAAAUAUAAACUAGCUGAAAGGAUGACUGAAACCACCACUGAAAUGUAAUUACUUCUGGGGUGAAGCAUGCAACUUCUUAACAGCAUGCAGAUAGAAGCACUACUCUAAAUGUAUAAGGCCCAUUUCUUUUGUAACUUAUACCAGUUAAACAGCACUAUGGUCUGACUGUCCAUUGCUGUGUUCCUGGUGUAGAUAUUUACACCUGUAAAAAGGGGGUGUGAAAUGCUAACAUUCUUGUCUAGUAGCGAUUUAAGACCAGUUUGCUUUGUUGUAAAUGAAUGACUCCGCAAGAUGUAGGGAAUGAGAAUCAGGGCUUGUGACUCUUGAUUUCAAUUGAAUUAUUCCUGACUUACACCAACAUAAGUGGGAAGAGUCAAGACAUUGGCAUUAGGGUGAGAGAGGAAGGCUGCUUGCUUGAAGUACCUGUGCAUUAAGGUAAACAAUAAUUCCUGUGAUACAUAUGUUUUUAUGGAAAUCCUGUUCUUUGUAUAUGUUACAGGGACCUCUUGCUGCCAACUGGUAGAGGGCACGAGUGCAUAAGGGGACAGGGAUCUCCUUAGUCUGGUAUCUACAUAUUGUUCGCCAAUGAAUGUCAUGUAAAGUCUCUACUGAAAGCCUGUGUCACCCUGGUCCUCAUAAUCAUUGCAAAAUGUAUGUACAGAUAAGAUGUAAGGAAUUAUGUGUAUAUCCUAAAACUAUAUUAAGGUGUGUGAUUUAGGAUUGGUAACUAGAAGGUGAUUAGUGUCUCCGGUCUGCAAGAAACUUGCUUAUCUACCUGUCUAGCUAUAUGCUAAUUCAGUAUUGUAUGAUUCACAAUGGACAGUCUGAGCCGAAUGCUAAUGAGAGAUUAUGGAAUCUUCAAGAGAGGACAUUUACAAGAAGAAAUAAACCAGCAGGAGGGACCCUGUUUGCAAGUGAAGACAAUGGAUUUUUGAACAUAGGUACAGGGACUCACCUUGCACUCUUCACCGAGGGGACAAGCUGCCCACUGACUUGUCUUAUGAAUGGAGAAUCACAGCUGUUCUGGCACUUUGAUGCUGGAAGAUAAACCUUGGGUGAUCUAACCAUUAUGAGACAGGGGACUGUCUUGUCUCAUUUAGGCUCCAGAAGUGUAUUCCGAUUUUAUUUUAACUGUAACUGUUUGUUUUCAUUAACUCUACUUACUUCUUCUCAAAUCUCUUUUUGUUAAAUAAAAUUCUUGUUUUUACUGUAAA